rnacentral:rRNA from 1 species
UUAUCUCUGUAGAGUCUGCAUAUCAAUAAGCGGAGGAAAAGAAACUAACAAGGAUUCCCCUAGUAACGGCGAGUGAAGCGGGAAGAGCUCAAAUUUGAAAUCUUCAAGGUUUGACCUUGACGAAUUGUAGUUUAAAGAAGUGUUUUCUGUUAGAUGAGUAGUAAAAGUUCUUUGGAAUAGGACAUCAUAGAGGGUGAGAAUCCCGUAUUUGACCUAUUCAUUUCUAGCUUUGUGAUACACUUUCAAAGAGUCGGAUUGUUUGGGAAUGCAGUCCAAAAUGGGUGGUAAAUUUCAUCUAAAGCUAAAUAUUGGCGAGAGACCGAUAGCGAACAAGUACCGUGAGGGAAAGAUGAAAAGAACUUUGAAAAGAGAGUUAAACAGUACGUGAAAUUGUCAAAAGGGAAGCGUUUGACACCAGUGUUGUUUUUCCGAAAAUCAAUUAAAAAUGGAUUCAUGCUAAGUUGUAUUGACCUUAUCAGCUUGCAAUUUAGUUUUGGGUUUCUUUUUGAUGCACUUUUCGGUUAACAAGUCAACAUCAAUUUCCUUUGCUGUAAAAAGGCAGGAGGAAGGUGGCUUCAAUUUCGGUUGAAGUGUUUAUAGCCUUCUGUCUCUGCAGUCGGGGAGAUUGAGGUCCGCAGCGUAGAUCCUUCGGGGCUAGAUACAUUCGUGCUAAGUUAUAGCCUUUUAUAGACAACUUGUUGACUAUGAUUGGUCUUGUAAUUUACUCGCGAGUGCUAUUUUACCUACGCUUAGGAUGUUGAUCUACAGAGCGAGAGU